rnacentral:rRNA from 1 species
AUUCAGGAAAAGGAUAUUAGUCCUACCUUAAACCAUUUUUUUAAAGAAAAAUAUUAACCUAAGUUUAAGAGCUAUUCAAAUAAGGUACAGCCUAUUUGAAACAGGAAACAACCUAAAAUACAGGGUAAUUAUUUUUAAGACAUGUGACCAAGUGGGCCUAAAAGCAGCCAACUUUAAAAAAGCGUUAAAGCUUCAUCACCAAGUCACCUAAUUCCACUAACUUCAUAAAACCCUAACUUAAUACUGAAUGACUCUAUUUUCCAUAGAGAACAUCAUGCUAGAACUAGUAACAAGAAGAAGCCCUUCUCCUAAAUGUAAGCAUAAGCCAAAAAGAACAACUCACUGGCACUUAACGUAUAUGACCCGAUAGUAAUAACUCACAAGAAAACCCUACUUAUCAAAACGUCAACCUUACACCAGCACAUUUAAGGAAAGAUUAAAAAUAGAGGAAGGGACUCGGCAAAUCCUUGUCCCCGCCUGUUUACCAAAUGCAUCGCCUCCUGCAUAACAUAGGAGGUCCAGCCUGCCCAGUGACAAAGUUUAACGGCCGCGGUACCCUAACCGUGCGAAGGUAGCGCAAUCACUUGUUCUUUAAAUGGGGACUAGUAUGAAAGGCAUCACGAGGGUCUCACUGUCUCCCUCUUUCAAUCAGUGAAACUGAUCUCCCCGUGAAGAAGCGGGGAUAAAACUAUAAGACGAGAAGACCCCAUGGAGCUUUAAACUCAAUAUUAACUGCCAAAGUACACACCAAGUCAAACAGGCAGAACUAACUAUUAGUUUUCGGUUGGGGUGACCACGGAGCAAAAUAAAACCUCCAUGAUGAAUGACUUACUCUAAUCUAAGAGCCACAGCUCAAAGAAUCAAUAAAUUGACAUAAUUUGAUCCAAAUAUUUUGAUCAACGAACCAAGUUACCCUGGGGAUAACAGCGCAAUCCAUUUCAAGAGCUCCUAUCGACAAAUGGGUUUACGACCUCGAUGUUGGAUCAGGGUAUCCUAGUGGUGCAGCCGCUACUAAAGGUUCGUUUGUUCAACGAUUAAAACCCU